rnacentral:rRNA from 1 species
CCUUCGGGAUAGCGGCGGACGGGUUAGUAACGCGUGGGAACGUGCCCAAUGGUGCGGGAUAGCCUCUGGAAACGGAGAUUAAUACCGCAUGUACCCUGAGGGGGAAAGAUUUAUCGCCAUUGGAUCGGCCCGCGUUGGAUUAGGUAGUUGGUGGGGUAACGGCCCACCAAGCCGACGAUCCAUAGCUGGUUUGAGAGGAUGAUCAGCAACACUGGGACUGAGACACGGCCCAGACUCCUACGGGAGGCAGCAGUGGGGAAUCAUAGACAAUGGGGGAAACCCUGAUCUUGCCAUGCCGCGUGAGCGAUGAAGGCCCUAGGGUUGUAAAGCUCUUUCGCCAGGGAAGAUAAUGACGGUACCUGGUAAAGAAACCCCGGCUAACUCCGUGCCAGCAGCCGCGGUAAUACGGAGGGGGUUAGCGUUGUUCGGAAUUACUGGGCGUAAAGCGCACGUAGGCGGGCUGGAAAGUUGGGGGUGAAAUCCCGGGGCUCAACCCCGGAACUGCCUCCAAAACUAUCAGCCUCGAGUCCGAGAGAGGUGAGUGGAACUCCGAGUGUAGAGGUGAAAUUCGUAGAUAUUCGGAAGAACACCAGUGGCGAAGGCGGCUCACUGGCUCGGUACUGACGCUGAGGUGCGAAAGUGUGGGGAGCAAACAGGAUUAGAUACCCUGGUGG